GCCGGCUAGAUGAGCCACACCAAGCCGCACUCGCCGUCAGUCCGCGCCGUUAUUUCGUAGGGUGAGGUUCGUUUCGCGCGGUAUCGCGUACUCUCCGUCAGGUCCUCCUCGAUGAUUUUCACGUGUUUCGAGCUUUGCCUCGUCUCGCGCUUGGAUUUUCCCCGUUUUCCUUCGUCAACCGAGUCACGUCUCGUCCGGUAGCCGAGACUGGAGUAUCCCGAAUACUCUCGACGCGCGUACGUGACGCGAUUUGCAAAUUCGCGCAAGUGAUACUCGAGGAAGAGAAAAAAGUGAAGUGACUCCUUCAGCGAGAAACACCUCCUUGACUGUUUUGGCAAAGAGAGAAAAGGAUCAAUAGAGGAAGUAAAGAAGAGGACGAGCCGACCCCUAAAAGGAGGGGAGGGAGGGCUUCGAUGGAUCUCGUUUGAAACCUCGAAGGCCAAGGCUACCGCUUACGCCGCACUGCGAGGGAAAGAGAAAGAAAGAGGGAAGUGAGCGAGAUAGAAAUCGGAAUAAAGAGAGAGAGAGAGAGAGAGAGAGAGAGAGAGAGA